rnacentral:lncRNA from 1 species
AAGAGUGGAAAUAGAAUGUGAACUCUGAAAAUAUUAGUUAGAGAGAGUUGAUUACUAACUGGAGAGAGUAAAUAUAGAAGAUAUAUUUAGUAUUAGAGAGAUAUCUGAGUGAAGCCAAUGGAUGAUCUAGGGUUUUUCUCAAUUUCUACUUCAACCAAUCAUGGUCGCAAUCCAAAUUAAGUGUAAAAAUGCAUUGAUAAAAGAUUAAAAUGAGGCUCACUCAAGAGACAACAACUGAGAUUAACUUGGUUAAUUACUGAUUUAACAGAAAGACUUUAUGAUGCAUGGUGUUUCCUUCAUCGUCAUCGUCAUCGUUAUCUUUUUUCUCUAGUUGUUUCUCACCAGAUUUUGUAGCAUCCAUCUCUCUGGUAAGAGUUUAUGCAAACUUCCCUCUAUCUAUUCCAUAGCUCGGAAGUGGCUCUUUGGAUCCCUUGUGGUUAACGAUAAAUUUAUAAACCCUUCAUCUCAAAACACAAACAAGAUCUUCAAAAUACUCUGGCCUGAUUGUAU